rnacentral:rRNA from 1 species
AAUAUUAGUCAAUGCUCGCAAGAGUGAACUAGCUAACUGAAAUCAUAUGACUCACUCUGUUGAGAAUUAUGAUAACGUAAGGGAAAAAAAUGAUAUUACCUUACUAUUAGUGUUGUCCAAAACUGGUGCCAGAAGACUCGGUAAGGCCAGAGACGCAAACGUUAGUCGUCCUAAUCAGGCGUAAAGGGUAUGUAGGCUGCUUUAAAAAUUUUAUCAUUUAAAAAAGCUCUUUAAUUAUAUAAAUAAAUUCAAUUUAUAUAUUAUAGUAAAUAUAAAAUUAAUUAAAGCUAGGAUCAAAUUGAGGAUAAACCAAAUAAUACUUAGUGUAGGGUUGAUAUCUAUAGAUACUAAGGGGAAUACUAAAGGUGAAAGCUUUUUAUCUAAUAAUGAUUGACGCUGAGAAACGAAGGUGAGAAUAGGAAAUAGGAUUAGAUACCCAGAUACCUCUCACUGUCAACGAUGAAUGGUGGUUGUUAGUUUUAAUAAAAACUGGUAACGAUGUUAACACGAUAACCAUUCCGCCUUGCGAGUACGGUUGCAAAACUGAAACCAAAAAAAUUAGUCGGUCUCGAAGCAAACGAAGUGAAGCAUGUUAUUUAAUU